CCUACGGGUGGCAGCAGUGAGGAAUAUUGGUCAAUGGGCGUAAGCCUGAACCAGCCAAGUCGCGUGAGGGAUGAAGGUUCUAUGGAUCGUAAACCUCUUUUAUAAGGGAAUAAAGUGUGGGACGUGUCCUAUUUUUUAUGUACCUUAUGAAUAAGGAUCGGCUAACUCCGUGCCAGCAGCCGCGGUAAUACGGAGGGUCCGAGCGUUAUCCGGAUUUAGUGGGUUUAAAGGGUGCGCAGGCGGCCUUUUAAGUCAGCGGUGAAAGUCUGUGGCUCAACCAUAGAAUUGCCGUUGAAACUGGCGGGCUGGAGUAGGAUCGAGGAAGGCGGAAUGCGUGGUGUAGCGGUGAAAUGCUUAGAUAUCACGAAGAACCCCGAUUGCGAAGGCAGCCUGCCAGGCCAUGACUGACGCUGAUGCACGAAAGCGUGGGGAUCAAACAGGAUUAGAUACCCGAGUAGUC
rnacentral:rRNA from 1 species